UAAUAAUUCGUUUUAAGAACUCAGAGCAAGAAUAUACUUCCAUAACUGUAGACUCUUUAAAUCCCCACAGGUUCAGAGAAAGACAAUACCAAAAGAUGACUUCUUUGGGAGGCCUAGUAAUCAUUGUUUCAAGCUUUCUGUGUCUGCUCCUUGUCUUAGUUCUCAUCAAGAUCCUUUACAAGCUAUGGUUGGCUCCGGCUCGCUUGCAGAAGCUGAUGGCCUUGCAGGGCAUCAAAGGCCCUCCUUAUAGACUUAUCCAUGGCAACACCAAGGACAUCUCCAACAUGAUCAAGGAAGCCGUGAGCAAGCCUAAGAGUUUGAGUUCGUCCCACGACGUACUUUCUGUAGUUCAACCUCACGUUCACUCAUGGACCAAGAUAUAUGGUAACAAACAAAACGGUCUUAAUUACUUAAACUAUUGUUUUGAAAUCUGAGUUCCAAGUUAAAUUUUGGUCAUAUUUAUUUAUCAACAGGGAAGAACUAUCUUCAGUGGCAUGGUUCUAAGGCUCAAUUGGUCAUCACGGAGCCUGAGUUAUGCAAAGAGAUACUGAAUAACAAAGACAAAGCUUAUCCCAAAACAGUGCCCGAAAGCUUUGUGAAGAAGCUCUUAGGAGAUGGACUUGUGACAACAGAAGAAGGUGAAAAAUGGGCAAAAAUGCGAAGGCUCGCUACCCACGCCUUCCAUGGAGAGAGCUUAAAAGUAAGUUUUUAGAGUUUCUGGUAAUUCCUUAGAAUCAAUUAAUUGAAGACUAAGUUUGCUAAUUGACUGCAUGACGGUGUUGUUUUGCUAGAGUAUGAUUCCAGCAAUGGUAGCCAGUGCAGAGACAAUGCUAGAGAGGUGGAAAAAUUAUGAAGGGAAAGAGAUUGAGGUGUUUGAAGAGUUUAGGUUUUUCACUUCAGAAGUGAUUUCUAGAACAGCAUUUGGCAGCAGCUAUAUAGAAGGACAACACAUUUUUGAGAUGUUGAUGAAAUUAGGCUUCCUGUUAACCAAAAAUUCUUUCACAAUAAGGGUUCCUGGCAUCAGGUAAACUUCCUUACAACUAAAUCUGAAUGUGGGGACAGCCAUAUAAUCUCUUUUUUGUUUAUAUUUGUAUUGAUUGGCUGAUUUAUUGAUCAACGAGGCUUGUUAUGCAGAGAACCAAUCUUCUCUAUUAUCUUUUUAUUGUUCUCAUGUGUGUUCUUUCAUUCAAUGUUGCAGUAAGCUUUUCAAAACUGGCGACGAGAUCGAAUCAGAGAAACUUGAAAAAGAUGUACGUGCCUCCAUAUUAGAGAUUGUCAGGAAAAGAGAAGAGAAGGUGAUGACUGGAGGAGAAGACAGCUUUGGGAGUGAUUUUCUUGGAUUACUUGUGAAGGCUCAUCAUGAUGCCAAUGACAGCCAGAGGAUUUCAGUGGAUGAUUUAAUUGAUGAUUGCAAGACGUUUUACGUCGCUGGACAAGAAACUACUAAUUCUUUGCUUGCUUGGACUGUCUUUCUUUUGGCACACCACACGGAUUGGCAAGAGGAAACAAGAAAAGAGGUCAUACAAAUGUUUGGCAAACAGACUCCAAACCCUGAUGGCAUUGCCAAACUGAAAACAGUAAGAAAGUCAAGAACUCAAUCAUUAGCUUGUUCUAAGUGGCAGAAACAUGUACUCAAUUAAGAUUCAAAACCUGAUUUGUUUUUUGUUUUUUUUGUCUUGUUUCGUUUGGAUGCAGAUGAGUAUGGUGAUCAAUGAGUGUCUAAGGUUAUAUUCCCCUGUUGGUACUCUGUUAAGGAAAGCUGAAAGAGAAGUUAAACUAGGAAAGCUGAUUGUUCCUGCUAAUGUUGAGUUGGUAAUGUCAUGCCUAUCACUUCACCAUGAUCCUCUAAUCUGGGGACAAGACGCGCAACUUUUCAAACCAGAGCGAUUCGCAGAAGGGGUUGCUAAAGCGAGUAACAAUAACGCAGGCGCUUUCCUACCCUUCGGAGUAGGACCUCGAACUUGUGUGGGAUUGAACUUUGCGACCAUUGAAGCAAAGAUUGCGCUGUCGAUGGUUCUACAACGCUACUCCUUCACCCUCUCCCCGGGCUAUGUCCACUUGCCCUUUCAGCUAGUAACAAAUCGCCCCCUCCGUGGAGUUCAAGUAAUGCUACAUUCACUUUGAUAAGUAUCCAGAAACACAGACAUCAUGCAGUCAGGAAGUGAAUUGAUAAACUCGCUGUAUUAUUAGUCAAUUAUCAUUUCAACUUUUCCUAGCUAUUGUUGCCUCAUGUUUGGCAGUAUUGUUGGAUAAUACAGUAAUUUACUUAUUUUUGUUUGGUUUGGG
rnacentral:lncRNA from 1 species